rnacentral:sRNA from 1 species
UGAAUCUGGUGAAUUCAUUCAGGUAUUGUCAGGCUGUUUUAAAAUCCCUAAAAACUGGUCGAGCUCCUGAAGUAGAAACAUGGAAACAAUUAGUACUGUCCCUUGAGGAAAGGAGUAGAGCCCAUCAGCAGGUAAUGAUUAAUCGUUAACUCUCACUUCGUUUUCUUUCUUUUG